CGGUUCUUGCCCGAGACCGAGAGGAAGAAGCAAGCAAAAGCAGAGAGGAGCCUCACUCUGUCAUCGACCACCCUUGCGCGCACGAAUCUCAGUCCGCGAGGUCACGGAUUCACCCGCAUUUCCUUCCCCGCAAAAAUGUCGGCCGCAGCGAGGGCACGCGCGCCGGCGCUCUUGGCCGGCCUGCGGCGGCUGGGGACGUCUGCGACUGAGGCGGAGACGAGGGAACGCGGGGCGAGGUGGGAGCUCUUUGCGGCGCGGGAGUACUACGACUACCGCAAGUCCAUCUACGGCGACGUCACCCACCGCGCCCUCCUCGUCGACGCCGUCGGCACCCUCGUCGUCCCCGCGCAGCCCACCGCCCAGGUGUACAAGAGCAUUGGCGAGAAGUAUGGGGUGAAAUACUCUGAAGAUGAGAUCCUGGCGAGAUACCGGUGGGCGUAUGGGCAACCGUGGGGUAGAUCACGGCUCAGAUAUGUCGAUGACGGAAGAACCUUUUGGCAACACAUAGUCUCAUCUUCUACAGGGUGUUCAGACUUGGAGUACUUUGAGGAACUAUACCAAUACUAUAUGACAGAAAAGGCUUGGAAGCUUUGUGAUCCUGAUGCUGAACAUGUGUUUCAAGCUUUAAGAAAUGCUGGUAUUAAAACUGCUGUUGUCUCCAAUUUUGAUACCCGUCUACGGCCACUUCUACAGGCCUUGAAAUGUGAUUGCUGGUUUGAUGCAGUUGCAGUGUCUGCUGAGGUUGAGGCAGAAAAGCCAAACCCAACAAUAUUUUUGAAGGCCUGCGAGCUUUUAGAUGUCAAACCUGAAGAAGCUGUGCAUGUUGGGGAUGAUCGUAGAAAUGAUGUAUGGGGAGCUAGAGAUGCAGGCUGUGAUGCGUGGCUUUGGGGCAGUGAUGUUUAUUCUUUCAAGGAGGUAUUUCUGUUCUUCUCCAUCCCAACAUUGAUCAUUUUAUUCUCGUGGAAAUUGUUUCAGGAGCAGAGUAUCUUACACAUCUCUUCACUAGGAAAAUGAUGCUCACAUUUGUGGUUAGUUCAUUUGUCCCCCACAAAAUAAUACUAGUAGUUUGGAUACUAAGGACAUGUUAAGUUUGUCAUUACGCAAAAAUGGAUGGAUACUCUAACCUGUCACCAUUGGGGUAAACUUCCCUUUUUCUAUCCGGAGGAGCACACCCACUUGAGGCUCAGAUGAAACCAGGAAGAAGGGUGUGCCAAUAGCCAAGAGCUUUCUGUCCUUGGAUUCAACUCGCAUCAGUCCUUGUCGCCGAGAGGAUUGGAGUCGAGGUGAAGGGAUAACUGGCACUGGCUAUCGUCGCGGGCAAAGGGGUUUCCUGGAGUGUGGUCAUGAUGCACGUAGGUAAAUAGCAGUGACCCAUCCUUGCUGCUCUAGCGUCUGAUGCACAAAUAAAUCAUGUUCGUUCAGUAAUUUAGAAGCGUUGAGCUGCUGAGAGUUGGAACAUUUCCCGUGCCUUAGUUGUCAUUGUGCACUCGGUGUGUUUAGCUACUGAUGUGAUCGUCUCUUCUGAUCUUCAACACGUACUGUUGGUGUA